GACGAACGCUGGCGGCGUGCUUAACACAUGCAAGUCGAACGCUGAAGCUCAGCUUUUGUUGGGUGGAUGAGUGGCGAACGGGUGAGUAACACGUGAGUAACCUGCCUCCUUCUUUGGGAUAACGCCCGGAAACGGGUGCUAAUACUGGAUAUUCACUGGUCUUCGCAUGGGGGUUGGUGGAAAGGGUUUUUCUGGUGGGGGAUGGGCUCGCGGCCUAUCAGCUUGUUGGUGGGGUGAUGGCCUACCAAGGCUUUGACGGGUAGCCGGCCUGGGAGGGUGACCGGUCACAUUGGGACUGAGAUACGGCCCAGACUCCUACGGGAGGCAGCAGUGGGGAAUAUUGCACAAUGGGCGCAAGCCUGAUGCAGCGACGCCGCGUGAGGGAUGGAGGCCUUCGGGUUGUGAACCUCUUUCGCUCAUGGUCAAGCCGCAACAAUGGUUGUGGUGAGGGUAGUGGGUAAAGAGGCGCCGGCUAACUACGUG
rnacentral:rRNA from 1 species